UAGUCUGGGAUACCACUUGGAACAAGGUGGCUAAUACCGGAUAAGAAAGACGGAUCGCAUGAUCAGCUUUAAAGGCGGCGUAAGCUGUCGCUAUGGGAUGGCCCGCGGUGCAUUAGCUAGUUGGUAAGGUAAAGGCUUACCAAGGCGAUGAUGCAUAGCCGAGUUGAGAGACUGAUCGGCCACAUUGGGACUGAGACACGGCCCAAACUCCUACGGGAGGCAGCAGCG
rnacentral:rRNA from 1 species